AGGCUGUUUUGGGCAAAGCAGCAUUCCCUGACCCCAAGGGCAUCUGGAGCCAAGUGAUUCCUGUUGGAUUUGCUGCUGCCUGAACACCAAGACCUUCAUCAGCCCUGUGAAGACGUGGGAGUGGUGGAUCAGCCAUGAAGAUCCUGUACCUGCUCUUCCCCUUGCUCCUCCUGCUGGUCCAGGGUGCUGCAGGAAGUGUACAUCUAUGCAGACAUCAAAGGGGAAUCUGUGUUUUUGGGAGAUGCCCCCUGGGUACAAGACCCGUUGGGAGAUGUACAGCACAAACCCUGUGCUGCAGAC